GACGAACGCUGGCGGCGUGCUUAACACAUGCAAGUCGAACGGGCCUGUCUUCUUUUUUGGGGGUGGGUUGAGUGGCGAACGGGUGAGUAUCACGUGAGUAACCUGCCCUUCGGUCCUGGAUAACCGCUUGAAAGGGCGGCUAAUACGGGGUGGUCCUGUUGGUCCGCAUGGGCUGGUCGGGAUAGAUUCACUGUUUUUGGUGUUUCGGCGGGGGAUGGGCUCGCGGCCUAUCAGCUUGUUGGUGGGGUGAUGGCCUACCAAGGCGGUGACGGGUAGCCGGGCUGGGAGGGUGGGCGGCCACACUGGGACUGAGAUACGGCCCAGACUCCUGCGGGAGGCAGCAGUGGGGGGUAUUGCACAAUGGGCGGAAGCCUGAUGCAGCGACGUCGCGUGAGGGAUGGAGGCCUUCGGGUUGUGAACCUCUGUUUCCGGUGGUGAAGGCCCUGUCCGUGUGGUGGGGUUGACGGUAGCCGGGGAUGAAGCGCCGGCUAACUACGUG
rnacentral:rRNA from 1 species